UUUUGCUUGCAAACUAAAGAUGGCGACCGGCGCACGGGUGAGUAACACGUAUCCAACCUGCCGAUAACUCGGGGAUAGCCUUUCGAAAGAAAGAUUAAUAUCCGAUAGUAUAUUAAAACCGCAUGGUUUUACUAUUAAAGAAUUUCGGUUAUCGAUGGGGAUGCGUUCCAUUAGGUUGUUGGCGGGGUAACGGCCCACCAAGCCUUCGAUGGAUAGGGGUUCUGAGAGGAAGGUCCCCCACAUUGGAACUGAGACACGGUCCAA
rnacentral:rRNA from 1 species